rnacentral:tRNA from 1 species
GCUGUGAUGGCCGUGUGGUUAAGGCGUUGGACUUGAAAUACAAUGGGAAUUGCCCGAGCAGGUUCAAAUCCUGCUCACAGAG